rnacentral:rRNA from 1 species
GCCAGGUGCUGGAUCAAGGAUCCACAUCACACUUCAAAAUUUGCGCCAAAAGCACAUGAGGGUUUUAUGCUUGGAUAUGGAAAGGAUUCACACUCCUACAGAGUCUUCAAUCUCUUUCAUUAUAAAGUGGUUGAAACAGUGAAUGUGUGGUUCGAUGAGACUAACGGUUCACAAAGAGAGCAACUACCAAAUGUGCUAGAUGAAGUUCCAUCCAGUGAAUCAAUCAAACUUAUGGGAACUGGAGAAAUCAUACCCUUUGAAGCUCAACCUGAAGAGGAACUUAUCAUCUCCGCACCUGAUCAACCUGAAGACAAUGCUCAGCCUGAAGACAAUCCCUCUAACAAUGACAAUGAUCAGCAAGAACAAAAUCUUCGCCCUGUACAUCCUCGUGUUGCAAAUGAAGUGCAGAUUGAGAGAAUAAUUGAUAGCAUCAAUGCACCCGGUCCG